GGGCAGGAAGACAGUGAGGGCAGCUGUGAACAUGCAGCUUCUGCACAGGAGAUGCGUGGAAGAUCUGGGCCAUCUCCUAGAAACCUUUCUGGAGGCAGAGGUGACCUCUGCCUGCUUUGAUGACGUGGUCCAUGUCCUGAAGGGCUGGCUCACCUCAGCCAAAGAAUGGGAGCGGGAGAGAGCCCUGCAGGUUUGCACCCACGUGCUGGGAGUGUGCAAGGAGCGAUUCGAG